rnacentral:rRNA from 1 species
GACGAACGCUGGCGGCGUGCUUAACACAUGCAAGUCGAGCGGUAAGGCCCUUUCGGGGGUACACGAGCGGCGAACGGGUGAGUAACACGUGGGUGACCUGCCUCUAGCUCUGGGAUAAGCCCGGGAAACUGGGUCUAAUACUGGAUAUGACUCCAUGACGCAUGUUGUGGGGUGGAAAGCCUUGUGCGGCUAGAGAUGGGCCCGCGGCCUAUCAGCUUGUUGGGGGUGAUGGCCUACCAAGGCGACGACGGGUAGCCGGCCUGAGAGGGCGACCGGCCACACUGGGACUGAGACACGGCCCAGACUCCUACGGGAGGCAGCAGUGGGGAAUCUUGCGCAAUGGGCGAAAGCCUGACGCAGCGACGCCGCGUGAGGGAUGACGG